rnacentral:lncRNA from 1 species
GUGCAUUUUACAUGCCAGAGGUAAUAUCAAAAAACAAAAAUUGUUUAAUUAGGUAGCAUGAUACUAUGGGUGACAUUUCAAAUAUUUUUUUGAAUGAUGUGUUCUUUCAAUAAGGAAUGAGGCAUUUUCUAAUUAAAAAGCCAAAAGCUCAGACAAGGCCAAACAUUAAGAAAACAUUUUUUUUUUUUUUGAGAUGGAGCCUCGCUCUGUUGCCCAGCUGGAGUGCAAUAGCACAAUCUCGGCUCACUGCAACCUCCGCCUCCCAGGUUCAAGCGAUUCUCCUGCCUCAGCCUCCUGAGUAGCUGGGAUUACAGAUUGCCACCAUGCCCAACAAAUUUUUGUAUUUUUAAUGGAGACGGGGUUUCACCAUGUUGGCCAGGCUGGUCUCGAACUCCUGACCUCAGGUGAUCCACCCACCUCGGCCUCCCAAAGUGCUGGGAUUACAGGUGUGAGCCACCGCGCCUGGCCACAUUGUAUUUUUAUUUUGGCAUAGAUGUGAUAUGUCAGGAGAAAGUAAAUGUUACUCUAUUCAAAACAUUACAAAGAUUCUGAUCAAAAGAAUCUAGCCACCAAAAAUCAUUCAGUUCCCCUGCUCAUGAAAACUAAUGAUCACUGAGCACCGACUGUGUGGAAAUUUCCUUUGGUCUUCAAACAGCUCUUUGUGGCAGGUGCAAUGAUUAUCCCCAUUUUUCAGAUGAGGUAACAGGCAUAAAAAGGAGAGGUAAUUUGCCCACAAUCACCCAGCUAAUUAGUGGCAGAUCUGGGAUUUAGUCCAAGUCUGUCUGACUCCAGGACCACUGCAGCUGUUGACUUGGAAACCCUUCGGGACUUUAUGCAUACCAGAGACAGACUAGAAAACUCUUGGAAUGAGUAGGAAAUUUAUUAUCUCAUAACACGAAGUCCAGAAGUUGGGCUAGCUGUGGGUUGGUGGGGUUGGCAGCUAAGUGGUGUCAUCAAGGACGCUUGCCAUCUUUCCCCCUUGCCUGUUUGCCAUCCUCGGUGUUAUUCUCCUCGGGAGCAGAAUGCAUUCACAUUGUUGCUAGACCAGAAGAGAGAGAUCUCUGACUGGGGAGCCCGCUCUCAGGAAAGGGAAACUUUCCCUGGGAGACUUCCAGCAGAAAUAUGUCCCAGGAAUAUUCUUGAACUCAUUCUUGGCUGGGGAUCAUGUAGCCUGAUUACUUUAUAUUAGCAUGAUGUGCAUGAAUGGCAGGGAGUCAACCACGAUGCUCAUUACACUCUGUUCUUAGUCACCUAACUUGUUUACAUUUCCAUUUCUUCAUCUGUAAGGUGGCAGAUUUGAGGAUGCAGUGGGAUAAGGGUUGGAUGCGGCUGGCCAAUGGGCAACAUUCAGUAGUUAUUAGUUGAGUAUGUCAGUUAGUGGGGGAAGUGUGCUGGUUGUAUAAGCCUGGGCUCUCUGGGGUGCAAUCUUAGUCUGCUUAAUACUUUUCACCAAUCCUCACGCUUGCAUUGAUAAUAAAAAUACAUAAACCCAGAGUUUUAAGAUGUUAUAGAGCUCCAUUAUUAAAAAGUGAAAAUUGGACUUCACUGAGAAUUCACAAUUUUCAAGAUCCAAGCAAAAUGUGGUAAUUUCUGCUGUUUCCCACCCCUGCCAGGCUUUGUUACUUGUGUUCCUUUAAGGAGAUUUCUGGUUUAUUCUUUAAUGCUAGAAUUUAUUUCUCUGUGUUAUUAUUCAAUUCUUACAUAUACUAGGUGAAAAACAAUGAGUUUUUACAAAUUGUAGAAUUCAUGCACCUAAACAGUUGUGGUUCUUCCUGUAAAAACAGAAAGCAUACAUGUUAUGGACUGAACGUUUGUGUCCCUGCCAAAUUCAUGUUGAAGCUUUAAUUCCCAGUGUGGCUAUAUUUGGACACAGGGCCUCUAAGAAAUUAAUUAAGGUUAAAUGAAGUUCUAGGGGUGGCACCCUGAUCCGGUUGGAUGUGUG